AAAGAAAUAUGGGUUAUAAAAUUAAUCUAAGCUAAACCCUAAUAAGUGAAAACUUAAUGUAAGAUGAGAAAUCACCUUCAUGGAAAUGAAGGACCAGUCACUGCACAAUGCCACUUCUCGCCGACUGGCAGAUGACCACUCUCACCAAGGUCACUGAUAUUCAAUCAUUGAAAAGAGACAUCCUAAAUAAAGAAGGGCAUGAACUGAAAAGAAAGCCUUGUCCACAUAAGCCUUUUCUACCAUAUAAGUCUGUGACAUGAUCUCAUGUGACCAAUCUAUAAUGACAAUCAGAUAGUAUCCAUAGCCUGAGUAAAAAUUAAAUUUUUUUGAAAGUUCGAUAAUCUGAUUAUACUAAAUUAAAGUUCAAGAUGAAAUUAAAAAUUCUCAAAUAAUUUAAAAUUAUUUUCAUGAUUAUUUUUUUUUAAAUUUACAAAAAUAGAAAGUCCAAGGUCUGAUCCAAAAUCUGAAGCUUGCAUUAAAUCUAAGCUUGGACCUAAAGGGUCAGCCCAAAGGUUGGAUCAGAGCCUAAGUAAAUCAUGUUAAUCUUUGGCCAAAACCCGGCUA
rnacentral:lncRNA from 1 species